rnacentral:lncRNA from 1 species
CACUGGGGGAUGCAGUUCCCCUAGCCACAGCACUUUUAAAUCCACAAGGGUAAAGAGGGAAUUUAUAGCUCCUACCCUCUCUGCUUUUUACAAGAGAGCUACUUACCCAUUUUCAUUUGUCGAGUUUAUGACUUCAGUUGUACAAAGCCACAUGCUUCAGAAAGAUGCUUAGACAGAAAGAUAACCAAAAGCAAUUUCAAGGAACAUAGCCACCGGCAGCAGAGAAGAGAGUCAGAUAGGAACUCAAGAGAUUUGAAGAAGAUGAAGAAUAGAGAUAUUAACUCACUUGGCCACGUUCAAAAAUGCAAUAUGGUACCGAGGCAGUAUUUGAACCCAAAUCUUUCCAAUUCCAAGUUCAGCAUUCUUUUUACUCUACCACAGAGCCACUGAAAGGCUAUUCAGUACCAGAACCAAGAUUUACACCCAGGUCCUCCUGACUUCAAAGACUAGUGCUGUUUUUCUUCCACAACGCAUUUCUUUAUUUGCCUUACCCACACAGUAUGUUUUGUAUUAUAUUCAUUUCUUCUUCUGACCAAUUAGUAGCUAUAUGUGAACUGUGAUUAUUUUAUUACAUACAUACUGUACUACCUAGUAUGGUGUCUUUACUCAUUAUAUGGCCUCAUUAAUUGUGCAUUAGAUUAUUAAAAAAUGCACUAAUAUGAAUUUAUUCCUGUACUGGAAGUUUUUGGUAUUUGUAUCCCUAGUAAAGUAGAUAAGCAUUUACUAGGUCUCAGGCAUAUAGUAGGGAUUUAACAAAUGAUUUUUUUGUUUCAAAUGCAUUGCUAACAUGUGCUUUCUAAGCACC